rnacentral:rRNA from 1 species
UACGGGGGGGGCAAGCGUUGUUCGGAAUUACUGGGCGUAAAGGGCUCGUAGGCGGCCAACUAAGUCGGAUGUGAAAUCCCCAGGCUCAACUUGGGAACUGCAUCCGAUACUGGAUGGCUUGAAUCGGGAGAGGGAUGCGGAAUUCCAGGUGUAGCGGUGAAAUGCGUAGAUAUCUGGAGGAACACCGGUGGCGAAGGCGGCGAUCCUGGACCGGAUUGACGCUGAGAGCGAAAGCCAGGGGAGCGAAACGGG